rnacentral:rRNA from 1 species
UACGUAGGGUCCGAGCGUUGUCCGGAAUUACUGGGCGUAAAGAGCUCGUAGGUGGUUUGUCGCGUUGUUCGUGAAAACUCACAGCUUAACUGUGGGCGUGCGGACGAUACGGGCAGACUUGAGUACUGCAGGGGAGACUGGAAUUCCUGGUGUAGCGGUGGAAUGCGCAGAUAUCAGGAGGAACACCGGUGGCGAAGGCGGGUCUCUGGGCAGUAACUGACGCUGAGGAGCGAAAGCGUGGGGAGCAAACAGG